CCGUGCGAAGGUAGCACAAUCACUUGUCUCUUAAAUCGGGACCUGUAUGAAUGGCAUCACGAGGAUUCAACUGUCUCCCCUCAUUAAUCAGUGAAACUAAUCUCCCUGUGAAAAAGCAGGGCUACUUAUACAAGACGAGAAGACCCUAUGGAGCUUAAAACUAAUAACAUUUGCUCUACUUUAUCUAGUAACCACCCAGCAUUAUGCUUAUACGUUUUCGGUUGGGGUGACCCUGGAAAAAAGCCUAACUUCCAUGCUGGCAAAUACAAGAACCUCAAUUCUACAAAUCAAUAUAUUGACACAAUUGACCCAAGCACUUGAUCAACGAACCAAGUUACCCUAGGGAUAACAGCGCUAUCCACUUCAAGAGUACAUAUCAACAAGUGGGCUUACGACCUCGAUG
rnacentral:rRNA from 1 species